rnacentral:rRNA from 1 species
CCUACGGGCGGCAGCAGUGGGGAAUAUUGGACAAUGGGCGAAAGCCUGAUCCAGCCAUGCCGCGUGUGUGAAGAAGGCCUUCGGGUUGUAAAGCACUUUCAGUGGGGAAGAAAGCCUUGGGGCUAAUACCCUCGAGGAAGGACAUCACCCACAGAAGAAGCACCGGCUAACUCCGUGCCAGCAGCCGCGGUAAUACGGAGGGUGCGAGCGUUAAUCGGAAUUACUGGGCGUAAAGCGCGCGUAGGCGGUCUGAUAAGCCGGUUGUGAAAGCCCCGGGCUCAACCUGGGAACGGCAUCCGGAACUGUCAGGCUAGAGUGCAGGAGAGGAAAGUAGAAUUCCCGGUGUAGCGGUGAAAUGCGUAGAGAUCGGGAGGAAUACCAGUGGCGAAGGCGGCCUUCUGGACUGACACUGACGCUGAGGUGCGAAAGCGUGGGUAGCAAACAGGAUUAGAUACCCCAGUAGUC